AGAACGAACGCUGGCGGCAGGCUUAACACAUGCAAGUCGAACGCGUGUAGCAAUACACGAGUGGCGCACGGGUGAGUAACGCGUGGAUAUCUGCCUUUUGGUUCGGAAUAACCCCGGGAAACUGGGGCUAAUACCGGAUGGUUCCUACGGGAUAAAGAUUUAUCGCCAAAAGAUGAGUCCGCGUACGAUUAGCUAGUUGGUGAGGUAAUGGCUCACCAAGGCGACGAUCGUUAGCUGGUCUGAGAGGACGAUCAGCCACACUGGGACUGAGACACGGCCCAGACUCCUACGGGAGGCAGCAGUGGGGAAUAUUGGACAAUGGGGGCAACCCUGAUCCAGCCAUGCCGCGUGAGUGAUGAAGGCCUUCGGGUUGUAAAGCUCUUUUGGCGGGGACGAUGAUGACGGUACCCGCGAGAAUAAGCCCCGGCUAACUUCGUGCCAGCAGCCGC
rnacentral:rRNA from 1 species